UACGAAGGGUGCUAGCGUUGUUCGGAAUCACUGGGCGUAAAGCGCGCGUAGGUGGCUUCUCAAGUCAGGGGUGAAAUCCCACAGCUCAACUGUGGAACUGCCUUUGAAACUGUGAAGCUAGAGUGUCGGAGGGGAUAGCGGAAUUGCUAAUGUAGAGGUGAAAUUCGUAGAUAUUAGCAGGAACACCGGUGGCGAAGGCGGCUAUCUGGACGACAACUGACACUGAGGCGCGAAAGCAUGGGGAGCGAACAGG
rnacentral:rRNA from 1 species